CGUAGGGUGCAAGCGUUAAUCGGAAUUACUGGGCGUAAAGCGUGCGCAGGCGGUCGUGCAAGACAGGUGUGAAAUCCCCGGGCUUAACCUGGGAACUGCACUUGUGACUGCACGGCUGGAGUACGGCAGAGGGGGAUGGAAUUCCGCGUGUAGCAGUGAAAUGCGUAGAUACGCGGAGGAACACCGAUGGCGAAGGCAGUCCCCUGGGCCUGUACUGACGCUCAUGCACGAAAGCGUGGGGAGCAAACAGGAUUAGAUACCCUGGUAGUCCACGCCCUAAACGAUGUCAACUGGUUGUUGGGAAGGUUUCUUCUCAGUAACGUAGCUAACGCGUGAAGUUGACCGCCUGGGGAGUACGGCCGCAAGGUUG
rnacentral:rRNA from 1 species